UACAGAGGUCUCAAGCGUUGUUCGGAUUCAUUGGGCGUAAAGGGCGCGUAGGCUGCGGGGCAAGUCGGGUGUGAAAUCUCAGAGCUCAACUCUGAAACUGCACUCGAUACUGCUUUGCUCGAGGACUGGAGAGGAGAUUGGAAUUCACGGUGUAGCAGUGAAAUGCGUAGAUAUCGUUUGGAACGCCAAUGGUGAAAAACAGGUCGCUGGGGAUGAGCUGACGCUGAGACACGAAAGCCAGGGGAGCAAACGGG
rnacentral:rRNA from 1 species